AUUGAACGCUGGCGGCAGGCCUAACACAUGCAAGUCGAACGGUAACAGGAAGCAGCUUGCUGCUUUGCUGACGAGUGGCGGACGGGUGAGUAAUGUCUGGGAAACUGCCCGAUGGAGGGGGAUAACUACUGGAAACGGUAGCUAAUACCGCAUAACGUCGCAAGACCAAAGAGGGGGACCUUAGGGCCUCUUGCCAUCGGAUGUGCCCAGAUGGGAUUAGCUAGUAGGUGGGGUAACGGCUCACCUAGGCGACGAUCCCUAGCUGGUCUGAGAGGAUGACCCGCCACACUGGAACUGAGACACGGUCCAGACUCCUACGGGAGGCAGCAGUGGGGAAUAUUGCACAAUGGGCGCAAGCCUGAUGCAGCCAUGCCGCGUGUAUGAAGAAGGCCUUCGGGUUGUAAAGUACUUUCCGCGGGGAGGAAGGGAGUAAAGUUAAUACCUUUGCUCAUUGACGUUACCCGCAGAAGAAGCACCGGCUAACUCCGUG
rnacentral:rRNA from 1 species